rnacentral:piRNA from 1 species
AAGAAAUUGGCAUGUAAGGACUAGG